rnacentral:rRNA from 1 species
AUUCCAGCUCCAAUAGCGUAUAUUAAAGUUGUUGCGGUUAAAAAGCUCGUAGUUGGAUUUCUGCUGAGGACGACUGGUCCGCCCCCUGGGUGAGCAUCUGGUUCGGCCUGGGCAUCUUCUUGGGGAACGUAUCUGCACUUGAUUGUGUGGUGCGGUAUCCAGGACUUUUACUUUGAGGAAAUUAGAGUGUUUCAAGCAGGCCCGCGCCUUGAAUACAUUAGCAUGGAAUAAUAAGAUAGGACCUCGGUUCUAUUUUGUUGGCUUCUAGAGCUGAGGUAAUGAUUAAUAGGGAUAGUUGGGGGUGCUAGUAUUGAGCGGCCAGAGGUGAAAUUCUUGGAUUCGCUCAAGACUAACUUAUGCGAAAGCAUUCACCAAGGAUGUCUUCAUUA